UCUCUGGUAAUUUUUUUUUUUUUGGAUGUUUAAAACUCUGAAGUCAUUUAGCCUAAUGCAGCAGGUGUAACCUUACCCACGACUCUUUAACUCCAUCAGGGGUUGAAAUCAGCUUAACUGUUUCCUGUGCUUGAAGUCAACAUCCUGCCUUCACCCUGCAGAUCUGCCACCUCCAGCUUCCUUGCUUGUAUUUUCUCUGCAACUGAACGCAGCGUGUUUUGCAGUUGGCCAGGCCACGUUGCAGGCUGUAUUUAGAGCAGCAGAGCGGACCGGCACCCCCCUUUGUUCUGAGCUUGAUGAGGAGGAAACCCUGCUAGGCUGCGACGAGUUCUCAUCAUCACCAUGCAUCUCUGCCAAGCUGCUCGGCCCCGCACAGAGCCGCCGCCGCAGAGCAGGAGGAGGAGGCUGACUGACAGCAGAGGAAGAGGGAGAGAUCUCCUUUCUCAGUCACUGCUCGACUCAGAAGGAAGAGGACUUCUGAUUUAUGGGAAGAACUUUGAGGGAAGCAGAGGAAGGAAAACAAAACAUCACCGGUUGAUCUCAGGUCGGACAGCAGCUCAUCUCAAAGUGGAUGAAGAAACUCAACGUUCGGGUCAAACAACCGUGCAGAUAAAUGUUGCAGUAUGUUAAUUCCUCAGAAAAACAACAGCCUGCUCACAUGCAAUGUAAAUAUUGGAUUUUCUCACAAGUGUUGCUAUGAAUUAUUAAGUGUUUUCCAAAUACAUGGUGGCAUUUCUUUUAAUUCUCUGGCAUUAUGUGAUUAACUUAAAGAUUUCUGGAAUAUAAAUGUGCUCCAAAGAUGUGCUGGGAUAUAUUUAGAGCUGUUAAUAUGUGGCAUUAAUUAUGCACAUGUAUGUAGAACUAAUUAAAUCAAUCAGCAGCAGACGUAACUGAAGAAGAAGGCGGUAAAAUGUGUGUGUGUGCGUGCCGGAGGGUCUUUUUUCUUUUUUUGCUUUCCGUGUUUUCAGUUGUCACAUUUUUUUUAACACAUUGUGAUGUGAUUUAGUGACUUAUUAAAUUAGGUUUUAAUUCCACACUAAGAAAAGAAUAAAAUUAAAAGUUUCUUUUGAUCAUAUGAAAAUUAUUC